rnacentral:rRNA from 1 species
GCAAGUCGAAGGAGAAGGGGAAAGCUUGCUUUCCCUGGAGACUGGCGGACGGGUGAAUAACGCGUAGAUAACCUGCCUUUAUCUGGGGGAUAACAUUGCGAAAGUGAUGCUAAUACCGCAUAAUGCAGUGAGGCCGCAUGGUCUUACUGUUAAAGGCUUCGGCCGGGUGAAGAUGGGUCUGCGUACUAUUAGCUAGUUGGUAGGGUAACGGCUUACCAAGGCGAUGAUAGUUAGGGGGUCUGAGAGGAUGAUC